rnacentral:rRNA from 1 species
AACUUAAAGGAAUUGACGGAAGGGCACCACCAGGAGUGGAGCCUGCGGCUUAAUUGACUCAACACGGGGAACUCACCAGGUCCAGACGUAAUAAGGAUUGACAAGUUAGAGACUUCUCUUGAUCUUACGGGUGGUGGUGCAUGGCCGUUUUUAGUCCUUGGAGUGAUUUGUCUGCUUAAUUGCGAUAGCGGACGAGACCUUAACCUGCUAAAUAGGGCUGCGAGCAUCUGCUCGGGUGCUCUUCUUAGAGGGACUAUGGGUAUCAAACCCAUGGAAGUUUGAGGCAACAACAGGUCUGUGAUGCCCUUAGACGUUCUGGGCCGCACGCGCGCUACACUGACGGAGCCAGCAAGUCCAACCUUGGUCGAGAGGCCCGGGUAAUCUCGUGAAACUCCGUCGUGCUGGGGAUAGAGCAUUGUAAUUUUUGCUCUUCAACGAGGAAUUCCUAGUAAGCGCAAGUCAUCAGCUUGCGUUGAUUACGUCCCUGCCCUUUGUACACACCGCCCGUCGCUACUACCGAUUGAAUGGCUUAGUGAGGCUUCAAGAUUGGCGCCGCGGGAGGGGCAACUUUCCCAUGGGGCCGAGAAUCUAGU